CAAAGCAAUGGCGGAAGAGCGCUAGCUUUGUACAAGUGUCUCGCUGUGUGAGGCAUGAAUCAUGUUGUUGUGGAGACAAUAGCACCGGAUUGUUACGCGGUGUGUUCAUGUGCGUCAUUAAAGGAAACCACAUCUACACCUGCCUAUGAUCUGGCUAAGCUCUCAAAUAUAGCCAGGCACUCAUGCAUCUCCAUUCACAUGCCAUGCAACCAAGCUCAUAAAUACAGCUCUGGCCUAUCUCUCUUAAAGGAGCAUACCCUCAUCCUGUGCACAGCUUCAUUAAAGGACUACUAGCAAUAUUCACCAUUACCUUCAUCAACGACUGCUCUGCUAUCCAAGUUGUGCCUCUCAUUCAGAGUUCUGUGCUGUGUGUGCUACCCUUAUAAAUACUGAAUGCUGGCUCUCUCCUAUCUAAUGUAUGUUCUCUUGUGUGCCUAAUAAACAGCUCAAGUUGGUUCAA